AAGUCGUAACAAGGUUUCCGUAGGUGAACCUGCGGAAGGAUCAUUACCGGGUCUGGGCCUCGUGCCCGCUACCCGCCCUUUGUCAUGAGACGCGAAAGCAACUCACAUCGCUUCGGCCCCGGGUGAGACCCCGCUAUUGACUUAGCGGGGGUGGACCCCGCGGCCGGCCUUACAAAACCCACGCGAAAUUUUGAAGUCUGAACAAAUGAUAAACGAAAAGCAAAACUUUCAACAACGGAUCUCUUGGUUCUG
rnacentral:misc_RNA from 1 species